rnacentral:rRNA from 1 species
UACGUAGGGUGCAAGCGUUGUCCGGAAUUAUUGGGCGUAAAGAGCUCGUAGGCGGUUUGUCGCGUCUGCUGUGAAAACUCAGGGCUUAACUCUGAGCUUGCAGUGGGUACGGGCAGACUAGAGUGCGGUAGGGGAGACUGGAAUUCCUGGUGUAGCGGUGAAAUGCGCAGAUAUCAGGAAGAACACCCGUGGCGAAGGCGGCUCUCUGGGACGGUACUGACGCUGAGACGCGAAAGCGUGGGGAGCGAACAGG